GGUCCAUCCACUUCGUCGAGUCUCAUUAAAAUUAAAGAUGUGCAGACAGGCCAUAUAUUGUCAGACAUCCAACCAAAGCCUGCAACAAAAAAUAAAUACCAUUGAUAUCUGCCAAACCCAAUUUCGUUCAUUGCAUUACUCAGGAUACGGGAUUUUGCCAAAUAAGUUUUGCUAAAGUCAUUACUGUCGAAUAAAUCGUCAUCAGAUUUGCUGGGCUGUAUAGUAGCAUCAGCCAAUUCUACUGGAUAUACGAGCUCGGUUUCAGAAACAUCUUCCUGCUUUUUGGACUCCGUAGGA